rnacentral:lncRNA from 1 species
AAAAAAAAGUUGCUCCAGAGGAGGCUCCAAAACCCCGCGCGCUGCAAAACUAGUUCAGCGCGCUGGCGAAAAUCACGCGCCGUUUAUUUGUUGCGUCCGCUUCGAAGCGCUGCACACUCGAGCGCUCGCUCGCAGCUCCACCUACCCAUCGAGUUGCGCCGCCGCCGUCGUCCGCGCCAUCCCAUUUCUUCUGGUGACCAUUCCAGCACUUCCCCGGCCUAUCCCCGCGUCACUGCUCCUUCGUCCUUCUCUCCCUAGACACCGCCUCCCCUCGCGCGCGGCAGCCGUCCGACGAACAGCGCCCGGGCGUCCACAACCGUUCAGCGCCCGCAAGGUGUUCGACAAAACAUCCGCAAGGUACGUACUGGAUUCAACUACACAUUUUUUACAUAAAUUUGAUGCAUGUUGUUUGUAGUUUUAUAGCUUAGUUUAAAUUAAACAUUUUAGUUGAGUUUCUCAUAUGAUUCUUCCGAAGAAGAAUUUAAUAUGAAAGAGGAG